rnacentral:lncRNA from 1 species
AGACACGGCGAAUGUGCCAUCUCACGGUUUCUGUCGAUCGGAAGUCGGGUAGACGCAGCUGGCUCUAUGCUCAGGGUAUCAUAAAGCUGAACUUGAGAUGACAGUUGACCUGGGCCUUUCCGUGGACGCUCUGGGAAGACUCUGCUUCUGGACUCGUUUGGGUUGUUGGUCAAAUCAGAUAGUUGUCCUGAAGGACUGGAAGCCUGGUUUUCUUGUUGACUGCCAGCCCGAGGCUGCUAAAGGCCGCCUGAUUCCUUUUCACGUAGCUCCUUCAUCUUCAAACCAGCAAGGCCAGCAAGGAGUCAAGACAUUUAUGAAUAUGGAAACCUGUAACUCAACAUCUUCAGUUUCCGGAGGAAGAAAAAUCUCCCCCAUAAAACCUGUGAGGGUUGCAAACGAACGGGGAAGGAGAAAUCAACAUAAAUGGACAGUUUGAAUAAUUUUAAAUGUGGCAGAGCACCGCAUACCUCAGGAAAACCCCAUGAAGGAAGGGAAGGCUCCCGGGUGCAGGUGCCUGUGUGCGGUUCACACGGCGGCCGGAGGAUUCUUAGCGAUAGUCGAAGAUCACAGGACGAUGCAGCAGCGGUGACUGCCAGCCCUCUCGAGCCAGUGUGAAGAUGCCCAGAAGUGGUGAAGACAGAGCUGAAUUUAUGGAGUACAUAAACGAGGCAUCGCUAUACGAAGACUCUCCUAAGAAAUAGCACGCAAUUGUGAAUGCAGGCAAACCGAGGUACCGGCACAUAUGAGACAUUUGGAAGCUAAUGACAGAGCACAAACCUUUCCGUCCGGCUUGCCCUGUGCUUUUCCCCAGGUCCUGCAACAACAGGCCCUGUAAUGUGUCGUUUUGCUUCUAACGGAGUUUGCAUGCUUUUGAAAGUGACUUAGAUUUUGGCAAAGUUUAUUUAAUGCAUUAUGCAUUAAAGUUGUCAUCAGGAUUUAACA